UCCAAGAAAAGCUGAGCUACUUUAAAUUGCAGCAUCAGAAGAGAGUCACAGAUUUAAAGAUUGUCCAGUUGCCUGUGGAAUGGCAACUCAGGAUGUUUCUUCUUGCUCACAACCAAAAAUAUCAUGCUAAGGAGUCUGGCCCCUAUUCUGCAGGAAAUGGGAAAACACUGCAUAUUUUUAAACAAGAAGAAUGACAUCUGGUGAUACAGUACUAGAUAUGUCGAAUUAGAGACCAGAAACAGUUGGGGCAGAAUAAAUAGCUGGCCCAGACCAGGACUUGAAUUAGGACACGAAGUGUUCCAGAGGAAUCCCACUAACAUGCUUGAACUACAUUUAAAAGUGGAAGAAGCAUAUAGGAGAGGGAAUUCAAGACUAUAAGCUGAAAAGAUCCAGUGAGGCUAGCACAGAGCAUGGCUAAGGGCAUGGACUCCCUGGACUUGAAUCCAGACUUGCCAGCUGGAUGCACUUGAGCUGGUUACUUGAUCUAUCUGUGCCUCAGUUCUGCCAUCUGUAAAAUGGGAACAAUGAUAGUACUUUACUCAGAGUUGCUUCAUGAAAACUAAAUCAUUAAUUUAUGCAAAAGGCUUAGAAGUGUUAGGCACACAGUAAGCGGCAUGUAACUGUUUCUUAAAUUAAAACAUUAAAACAAAAAAAGUCCCAUCCAUUCCAAUCUCUAUAGCAAAGCUGUUGCUUCGGGUCUAACUUGAGGCGUGAACUCUCAGUGUGUUGCUCUUCUUGAACUAUUUUAACUGUACUUUUAGUUGUUUAUAGUUCUAUAGGGAAAGGCUUUCACAAUAGGGUUGGUGCGCAAUUGGAGUCUAAUCUUUGAAUAUCUUACAUUCUUAUUCAUGAAUUUAUCCACUGCUAAAGUUCAAUGGUGCUCUAUUACCUAGCAUCACUGGGGAACUAAGUGUACCAGAUAAACUGAUUUUCUAGCAACUGAAGCAUAUUUAAGAGCCAAUGCACUUUAAAGUUUGAAUUAUGUCAAGAGGGAGCUUGUAAAAUGUACUGUAGAAUUUUCUAGUUUCUGAAAGAGUGCAUCAAAAGUAAUCUAAUAUUUUCACAGUGACUUAAGGUGAUCAUUUUGAACAUUGGUCACUGAACUCAGCAUGACGAUCUAAUGGAGGGAUUAACUGCUAGAUUUAAAGAUCUGUUUGCUCCUAAACUAUUUGCUCAAAUAUGACUGUAUGAAAGCCCUUGCAUCUCACUUUUUACUUUAAUUUUCCCUGCAUCUGUCCCUGCUAUUAACUGUUACAUCCUGCAACUAUCACUAUUUCUGCUUCAGAAUAGAACUUUUCCUAUUUUCAUAUCAUCUGAAACCACUUUGUAAUAGAUAAUCAAAUUCUGUAUAAAUUGAAAAGCAUAUAGUAUAUAGUAUAUAUGGGUAUAUAGUGUAUCAAUUGUGGUAUAAGCAGGAAACACCAGCCAAGAGCAGAAAACAUAUACUGUACAUUUUGGGAAAUCCACUUAGCCUACCUUCUAAAAACUGUUCCCAGAUGUUUACUAUUAAGACAGCUGAGGCUGCCAAAAGAACACGGUCAUUUUGCUGAGUGAUGAGUGACAGCUGAAGUGAAGGAAGGUAGGCUCUCCCUAAGCCCCAGACGUAUGUAUAAUACAGCCCACUCAAUAUCUUCACUGCAUUCAUUUCCUAUAACUGCUGUAACAAAUUACAACUUACUGGCUCAAGACAACACAAAUUUAUUAUCUUGCAGUUCUGGAGGUCAGAAGUUCAAGAUGGGUCUUAAAAAACAAAAGUCAUGGCACUGGCAGGGCCGCAUUCUUUCUGGACACUCCAGGAAGAAUCCAUUUCCAUACCUCUUCCAUCAAAAAGCUGGAGAAAUGUAUCUCACAAAAUGUGAGAUACAGAGGCGACCUGAAUGCUUAGCUGUAGCCCCUUCCUUCUAUUUCAAAGCACAUCAGUCCAGCUUCUGUUUUGAUCAUCACAUCUCCUCCUCUGACUUUGACACUCCUGCCUCCCUCUUACAAGGACCCUAGAGAUUUCAUUGGACCUACUCAGAUCAUCCAGGAUAAUCUCUCCAACUCAAUAUCCUUACCUUAAUCACAUGUGCAAAGUCCCUUUUGCCACAUGAGGGAACAUAUUCACAGGUUCCAGGGACUGGGAUAUGGACAUUUUGGGGGGGCCACUGUUCUGCCUGCCACAUCAGCACAGAUGUUGAACAGAUCUCAAGCUUAACUUGCACAAAGCUAAACUGCUGAUAUUUCUGCUCACUCCCACCACCUCUGUCCAAAGCUGCUCUACCCAUAUCUGCCUGCGUUUCAGUUGAUGUCAAGCUCAUCCUUCCAUUUGCUCAGGGCAAACAGCCUGGAGUCACCCCUGACUCCUCCUUUCUCUCGCAUUCCACGUGCAACCUGUCAUCUAGUUCUGUCAGGUAUCUUUUUAAAAAUAGAUCCAGCAUCUGACUACUUCUCCCAACCUCCAUAGCCACCACCAUCAAAGCCACCAUCUUUCCUCAGUGAGAUCCCUGGAACAAUGUCCCAGAUCCCAUCCUGUGGUUUAUGAUGAACCCUAUAGCCAGAAGGAUCUUUUUAAAACUGGAAAUUAGAUCAUAUCACUCCUCUCUUCAAGACCCUCCAGUGGCUCUUCAGCUCACUGAGAA
rnacentral:lncRNA from 10 species